GGCGAUGGACUCAGAUUCAAACUGUGAUGAUAAGAAUUCUUCAGGAAUGGUUCUCCAGGCUUCUUAAAGAACAUUCAACGCUCUUCAUUGAGGUCCAGAUCAAUCCACAACUUUCACUGUUUUUUCUAUCCAGAUGGCUCUUAUGUCUGCUUUCUUCUGGGAUGAUUUCACUUUCUUGCACUUGGCUGUGGUCACCAAACUGACAUGAGACAGGAAGAGAUCAGCUGAUGUGGCUCCACUCCACACCUCAUGGAUGUACAGUGACAGC